UAGAACAUAUCUUUGUCUCCAGUUUCAAUUUCCCCGGUGUCCACAUUUCUGAAAACGUCUCCUGGUCCCUUAAACCUCAGUGCAAGAAAGGUGAAACAUUGGAUCACGAAGGAAGAGCUGCAUCUCCUGAAAUGUAACUCCAAGAACACUCACCUCGUGAGGCCAUUUACCACUUUCAAAAAGAACGUCACACCAGACUGCCUACCGCUCCUCUGUUGUCCAACCACGCCACAGCCUCGACAGUUCCACGUCUGCCAUCUUCGCCUUUCCCUC